GAUGAACGCUGGCGGCGUGCCUAAUACAUGCAAGUCGAGCGAACAGACGAGGAGCUUGCUCCUCUGACGUUAGCGGCGGACGGGUGAGUAACACGUGGAUAACCUACCUAUAAGACUGGGAUAACUUCGGGAAGCCGGAGCUAAUACCGGAUAAUAUAUUGAACCGCAUGGUUCAAUAGUGAAAGACGGUUUUGCUGUCACUUAUAGAUGGAUCCGCGCCGCAUUAGCUAGUUGGUAAGGUAACGGCUUACCAAGGCAACGAUGCGUAGCCGACCUGAGAGGGUGAUCGGCCACACUGGAACUGAGACACGGUCCAGACUCCUACGGGAGGCAGCAGUAGGGAAUCUUCCGCAAUGGGCGAAAGCUUGACGGAGCAACGCCGUGUGAGUGAUGAAGGUCUUCGGAUCGUAAAACUCUGUUAUUAGGGAAGAACAAAUGUGUAAGUAACUAUGCACGUCUUGACGGUACCUAAUCAGAAAGCCACGGCUAACUACGUG
rnacentral:rRNA from 1 species